rnacentral:lncRNA from 1 species
GUUGUAGUUCAUCAAUAUUUGAGAAUAUUCUUCUUCACAGCAAGAUUUCCAGUGGGAUUGGAUCUCUGUUGACUUUUAACAUGGAUGCAUCUAUUUCCUAUUUAUCUCUUGUUCCUCCCAAAUGAAAAUAACCAGGUGGAGCCUCCCACAAGUGAACAAACAAGCCAGGAGUCAGUGAGACCACCAAUUAUUAAGAAAGCAUCUUCCAAGCGUGUCACCAUUUCUGAAAUAAUGGAUCCCAGUGAAGGGUCCCUAAAGAGCCAGAGCCAAACUCCAGUUUCUUCCUACAGCUGCAUGAAAAAGCCCACUGUGGACUUAGAGAAACAAAGCAAUUACAGUAAAGCAUCAUUGACAAGGACAUUUUCAAUCAGUAAAUCUAGGGAGCGAGGAUCUUUUUCUAAUUCAGAAAAAAAAAUCCAGACUGCAGGAAUCUUAAAGAAUGUCAGUUAAGUCUGAGACAGUUCAUUACAAGUAGUGUUGGGGGGAAAAACGGAUUCUCACACAUCCAAUACGAAAAGAAACCAAGCAAACCGAAGAUAUCAAGUGAAAGAAGAAAAAGAGAUGUCCAUCCAAGCAACUGGAGAAUUGUCAUAUUCCGAUAUUAUAUAAUUAAACAUUCAAAUGUAUA